rnacentral:lncRNA from 1 species
AAGAAAGUUAGCUACUCAAGUACUCCUAAUGGCGCUUACCAAGAACAGCGAGCAUGCUAUGUGCCUAUUGGCUCUUGUUGUCAUGUCUACCACUUCCCCGCCCUCUCUUGUAGAAGGAAGGAUCAUGGGUACAUUUCUUUCGUCUUCUUUUCUCUUAAUAUGUUCAUACACAUUUGGAUGUUAGUAACUGGGAAGUUAUCCAGAUAGCUUCGGAUGGAAAAGUGUUCAGCAUGAAAGUUGUGUAUCAUCAAAACGUUCAACUUUGGUUUUGGGGUCAUCAUCAUCUGAGAUAGUAUACGGCCUGCAAAUUCACUAAAAGACUCGGACAGUCCAGUCAGCUGCAUGACCAAGUCCGACUGGAAGUUAAAGAUGGCUUCGUAGAGUAUUCAAGAUGGCCUUUUUGGAAAGGGUCUUUUACAUUUGUGUCCCUAACUCGAACUCACUACUCACAUUUGCCCCUAAUUUGAAAGCCUGCUCAAAAAUGCCCCUCCGCCGUUAGGUGCCCUUAUAGAAAUGCCCUUCCGUGCCGUUUCCGUCAGGUCAAAGGCCUUUGACUGUCUACCGGACGUUUCCUGAACAUUUUGCCCCUGCCUCCAUGUGUCGCUUACAUGUGGGGCCCACUCAGAGAAAAAAUAAAAAGAAAAAACAUUUUCUCUCACCCCCUCUCUCUCACUUACAUAUGGGCCAACUAACAAAAUGAAAAAUAAAACUUGAUAUUGGUCAGUCAUUGUUUUAUUAUUUUCUGAAAUGUUAUUUAUAGGGUGUUUAUUUCCAAGGACUUAUUGGUUUAGGGACUUAAAAAAGUCCCUAUAACUCCCAUCUAAACGAAACAUGAGGGACUUAUAGAGACUUAAAGUGGGCAUUUGGGACUUAUGAAAUAAGACUCUCAAGGAGAGUCUUAUAGGGACUUAUAGUUGUAAUAUGGUCUUUUAGUCCAUGUUAAGGCCAAGGAACCAAACAAGUAGAGACUUAUUAGGGACUUGGGACUUAUAAGUUGGGACUAAAAAAAGUCCUAGGACUUAUGGACCAAACAUGGCCUUACUGACUUAUUUGAGGGCUGGACCCACUAGUCAGCUUUUGUAAAACGAGUGUAAUGAGAACUAAUAAUAGUUUAGGAUAAUCUGGGAUUAGGCUAACUAAAAACACGCCGGCGCCAGUGCACGAAGACACGAUAGCGAUGUACGGGAGGACGCCGGAGCAGUCGAGUGGUUGCAAGACCGCGCUUGUGAGGGUGAGGGAGAGAAGCUUCAGUGGCCUGAGGUGGCCAGAGAAUGUGGGGUGCCGGGGAGGAUGGGA